rnacentral:rRNA from 1 species
AUUGAACGCUGGCGGCAGGCCUAACACAUGCAAGUCGAGCGAGCGGCGGACGGGUGAGUAAUAUCUGGGAAACUGCCUGAUGGAGGGGGAUAACUACUGGAAACGGUAGCUAAUACCGCAUACCAUCAGAUGUGCCCAGAUGGGAUUAGCUAGUAGGUGGGGUAAUGGCUCACCUAGGCGACGCUCCCUAGCUGGUCUGAGGGGAUGACCAGCCAAAUUGGAACUGAUACACGGUCCAGACUCCUACGGGAGGCAGCAGUAGGGAAGAUUGGACAAUGGGAGAAAGCCUGAUGCAGCCAUGCCGCGUGUGUGAAGAAGGCCUUCGGGUUGUAAAGCACUUUAAGCGGGGAGGCGUUACCCGCAGAAGAAGCACCGGCUAACUCCGUGCCAGCAGCCGCGGUAAUAC